ACCAUUAGGCCAUGCUGCUUCUCAAGUGGGAGAAAAGGAGGUGGAGAAAAGGAGGUGGAAGCAUUUAUCCCACAGCAGCCCAGGUUCCAAGCCGGGACCUGGGGCUCAGCCCUCAGAUCUGGAAGCUGAGCUGCAGAAAGCUCUGGCACUAAUUAAGCCCCGUCAGUGAUCACAGUGAGUUUCCAUAUGAGGAUGCAUAAAAAUACACUGCAACCAAGGGAGACUGGAACACCGCUUGAAAAUAUUUUCCGGGGAAAAAGGAUACUAGAUUGCUGAACUAGCUCCAUGCAAGGAAAGGUUGUUUUUCCAAAUAUGUCGGCUCCCACAUUCAUCAAGAGGCUUAUCGGCCGGUGCAUUUUGUAGGAUCUGAAUCCACGCUGACAAAGUUUUAGCCUCCUAGAAAAACAUGCAGACUGAAAAGGAAGAGCUUCUGCAAUGGAAGCCAUUCUAGGUUGACUGCUGCUAACAUUAUGAUACAUGUCGCCUUGUCAUAGUUAAGCCCUGAGUUCUGAUGGGAAUGUUUCAGAGAACUUCAAUCAGUCAAUCAAUGGUAUUUAUUGAGGGCCAUCUUGCUGAGGAGCACUUAUUUAAAUGGUAAAUUGGGAAUUGUUCCAGUGAUACUAUCCUCUCCAGAACCGGGAACCCCUUGUGGGCAAGGAUGCCUUUAAAUCCAUUUUUAUUCUAUGUACAUCCUUCUGUGCCUACUUCAGUAUCGUACACAUUAUAGCCACUCUCUAAAUAUCGGUUUUAAUAGUCAAAGAAAAAUAACCUGGACAUUUCCUCCAGCACUGCCUAGAUUCAUUCAACCAUGUGAUUAGAAGGCAGCGUAACCAAUUUAAAAAUCUUAAGCCCCUGACAGCCCGUAACUUUCCCUGGUAUCUAGUUUUUUUCAAUUUCACUGAUCUGGCUGUCAAAAACAUUUUCACUACUUAACCUAAGCCUCUUUUACUGCCGGAUGAACCUACAGACCUUUGGGUUUCCACUGUGUUUACAGAAGAAAGACUCGUUAGCCUUCCAGUAGAAGAAAACCCUGGCUCUCGAAAGAUAGGGUGUGUGACUCUGGGAAAGCCUGUAGUGAUUGAACUUUCCCAUUCCUGGUCCUUAAAAGAAUGAUGGAAAGAUAAAUUUGAAAGGGCGGUUGACCUAAUCAUUAACAAACCAAAAAAUUCACUGCAGAGACAGAGUGUUUUGUUCGCUCAGACUAGCUCUAAUGUUGCUAUCCUUUCCUCUCACUGAACUUCAGGUUGAAAUUUACAGCAGAGUCAAUUCAUUCUUCCAAAAUAAAACCAAUAGUAAGCAAUUGA